UCCUAUGAUGAACACCUUAUUUAAGCCAAACAGUUAUCCCUGUCAUAAUAAAAUACUUGAUGAUACAAGAAGCUGAUACAAAA
rfam:Drosophila virilis strain TSC#15010-1051.87 Ctg01_14996, whole genome shotgun sequence.